rnacentral:misc_RNA from 1 species
GGUUUGAUUAUGGCUCAGAUUGAACGCUGGCGGGAUGCUUUACAUGCAAGUCGAACAGCAGCACGGACUUCAGUCUGGUGGCGAGUGGCGAACGGGUGAGUAAUGUAUCGGAACGUGCCUAAUGUGAGGAUAACUACGCGAAAGCGUAACUAAUACCACAUACGCCCUUCGAAAAGGAAAGCGGGGACCUUCGGGCCUCGCACUAUUAGAGCGGCCGAUAUCGGAUUAGCU